rnacentral:rRNA from 1 species
ACUCAAAUGAAUUGACGGGGACCCGCACAAGCGGUGGAGUAUGUGGUUUAAUUCGACGCAACACGAAAAACCUUACCUGGGCUCGAACGACUGGAAGUAAGAUCCGUGAAAGCGGAGAUGACUUGUAAAAUCAGGAACCAGCCGAGGUGCUGCAUGGUUGUCGUCAGCUCGUGUCGUGAGAUGUUGGGUUAAGUCCCGCAACGAGCGCAACCCCCAUUUCCUGUUGCCACCCGCAAGGGGGCACUCUGGAGAGACUGCCCACGAUGAGUGGGAGGAAGGUGGGGAUGACGUCAAAUCACCAUGGCCCUUAUGUCCAGGGCUACACACGUACUACAAUGGCCAGCACAACGGGAUGCAAUGGAGUAAUCCGGAGCCAAUCCUUAUAAAACUGGCCCCAGUUCAGAUUGUGGGCUGCAACUCGCCCACAUGAAGGUGGAAUCGCUAGUAAUCGCGAAUCAGAAGGUCGCGGUGAAUACGUUCCCGGGUCUUGUACACACCGCCCGU